AUACGGAAGGUGCAAGCGUUAAUCGGAAUUACUGGGCGUAAAGCGCGCGUAGGCGGCGCGGCCAGUCAGAUGUGAAAGCCCUCGGCUCAACCGGGGAAUUGCAUUUGAUACUGCCGUGCUUGAGUACUGGAGAGGCAGGCGGAAUUCCAGGUGUAGGAGUGAAAUCCGUAGAUAUCUGGAGGAACACCAGUGGCGAAGGCGGCCUGCUGGACAGAUACUGACGCUGAGGUGCGAAAGCGUGGGUAGCAAACAGGAUUAGAUACCCUGGUAGUCCACGCUGUAAACGAUGGAUGCUAGGUGUCGGGGGGUCCACCCUCGGUGCCGCAGUUAACGCGUUAAGCAUCCCGCCUGGGGAGUACGGUCGCAAGGCUGAA
rnacentral:rRNA from 1 species